UUUUUUUGAGACAGAGUCUUGCUCUGUAGCCCAGGCUGGAGUACAUGCAGUGGUGCCAUCUUGGCUCACUGCAACCUCUGCCUCGAGAUUCAAGCUAUUCCCUUGCCUCAGACUCAUGAGCUAGGGCUACAGGCAUGAGCCACCAUGCCCAGCUAGUUUUUUGAAGACAGGUGAUGCUGCUCAAAUUUAAUCAUUAAAGGUCUCUCCUCUUAGACGACACUAGGAAACAUUUGGGUUGUAUCCAUUUCACUCUCUGUGCUGAACUUGAUGUCACAUAAUUGCUGGUCAGUCUAAUACUUUCAUAUGUACAUCUUUUUCAAAUUAGAAAAUAUAUUGUAAUAUAAAAAUCAAUAUCAGUUCUAACUUUGCAUAGGAACCUGUUAGAAAGUUUAAUGAUAUAAGCUCUAAGAACUUAACAGUGCAAAGAUCUCAAGACUAUAACAUUCUUAGAAGUUAUUUCAACCACAUUUUCCUAAGACUGAAAUGCAGAAACUUACAGAACUCAGUAAAAAGAUAAAAAUGUAAAUACUGAAUAUUGAAAAGAUGCAAGUUCUCUCCAAAUACACUUAUAGGCUGAGUAAAAUUCAAAUUUAAAGACAAUUUGUUAAAGAUGAGGCAAGAAUCUAGGGAAGACAAAUUAUCUGAAGUUUGUCUGGAAAAAUCAAUGGGUGAAAAGAAAAGAUUUUAGGACAAGAUUAAUAAAAUUUUCUUUCAAUUGUAAAAGUAAAAUGAUAAAAUCAGAUCUAUAUGGGACUGAUGUCAGGAAUAUUAUACAAAGUUAUGGGAAAGCAUGAAAUAGUUUUAUUGAAAGAUAUUUGUGAUUAUCUCAUUGGCUACAAAAGAAGAAUUUACAAUAGUUGAGAUUCUGUUAUGUGUAAAGUUGUCCAACAGUUAUAAGGAUUAAAUGAGGAUCUCCCCCCAAAAUUUUUUACAAUAGGAUGAACAAGCAUUUAUAUAAAAUGAAAAGCUCGCACAGUGACACCACUUGAUUCUUCAAUACUUAAUUUUAAAGGCAAGCAAUUAAACUGUUUAUAAGGAUACCUUUGAAUAUGACAGUGUUCGCUUCUGAAAAUAAAUUAAAGGCUGAAUUGUUCUAUAUAUGGUAACGGGGGGACAAGAAGUUUUGCCAGCUUUUAUUACACAUAAAAUGAAAACAGACAUAGAUUUAUUCACCUUAACAGUAGUAAUAUUUUAAAAGUACCAAAUUCAAGUUCUUUUUGGCUUCUCUUUGGGAAUUAAUGCCAUAUUAAACCUAAUUCCUAUUCUUCUUGAGAGUGAUAUUUAUUCUUCUUGCCAUCGGUAACUCCUACUUGGAAAUUAAGUCUUGACAAGGACAGCAAGCUUCAGUAUCAAUUUUUCUCAGAAUGAUUUGGCAUGAUAUUUAGUGGAUCAGUUUUUGGCCUUUAUAGAAUGAACUUCCUGAGCUUUUGAAAGUCAUGGUCAAUAUGUGCCUGUCAGAUAGAGAGGACACACUAAUCAGUAGCACGUGCUCUUGAUUUGUUUAGCAUUCAAUGUCGGUAAAUACUUUUAUCAAAACCAUUAUUCUCUUACGGGAAUGUGUUAUUUACCAACGUUGAUAACAUCACCGACUGUGAUUUUUUAAAAUAGGAAACAGUGUAUUCUGAGUAUAAUCAGUCCUCAUUUCCCCUUGUUAAAGAAACAAAAUUGAAGAAACACUUUUAAUUUAGAAGAAAAACAUUCAAAUCUGUUUACCUUCAUUUGUUAGACUAGAAAAUCUGUAUAUAUAACAAGAAAAUUAAAAACUAAAAAGAUAAAAAAUGCAUUAAAAUUAUGGACUUUGUAUCAAAUAAUAGUUAAAAUAAAAAGACUUAGAAACUUAGACAUCUUGAUUGAAACCCAGCUGUGCCCAUAUUGUGAUGAAAAUCUUACUUCACUUCUGUGGUCUUCUUCUCCAAAUCCUGUCGUCCCAGUUUAAUCAUGAGAAAAACCUCAGAUGAAUUCCAAUAGUGGGACAUUCUACAAAACAUUUGGCCAGUACUCAUCAAAACCAUCAGGGUCAUUGAAAAUAAGGAAAGCUUGAGGAACUGUUAAAGUUGAGGAGAGCCUAAGGAGACAGGAUGGCUGAAUGGAAUAUGGAAUCCUUCAGGGGAUCCUGGGACAGAAAAAGAACAUGAGAUUACAAAUGAAGGAAAUCUAAGUAAACCAAGGACUUUAGUCAAUGAUCAUAUUCCAGUCCUGACUGAAUAAUUGUGACAAAUAAACCAUAUUAAUAUAAGAUGUUUAUAAUAGGGGUUUAACUGGGUAAGGUACAAUCAAAACUCAAUGUACUAUCUUCUCAAUUUUUCUAUAAAUCUGAAACUAUCUUAAAAAUGUAGUCUACUUAAUAAAGAAGGAGGGGGAAAGAUGGAGUUAUAUGACACAAAAUUAUUAUAUGCUAUACUAAGCAAUUUAGAAUAUGUUUGUGUCUGGAGACUCAUAAGAUAUGCACUCCAGUAGUCUGUGAAUGCUCAGACCAGGCAGAGAAGGCAAGGUCAAGGGUUUGAACUAAGAUGACAGCAGUGAGACUGAAUAGGAGACAGGAGGCAAGGUGCAAAGCAAUGGAGUUAAUAGCACUUAACCCCUGAUUCAAUUCGGGCAGGUGAUGAAAGGACGGAAAAGUCUACCAUAAUGGGUUUCAAGAUGAAAAUGAAGCAUUUGAAAAGGUUUAUAGAAGGAAGGAAAAAGACUUGAGUAUUUAAAAUUCUCUAAGAAAAAAAAAUUAUGUUGAGAAAGUCUUGAAUGGGCAUCUAUAAGGGUGGAGAGUUUUCUGGAGCUUGCCUUUACUAUGUGGCUGUGGAUGUUCUGGUCUUCAGCUGAUAAUACUUAGAGCCUUUCUUUGUCCCGCUCUGUGAUGUGAUCAUUUCUGUUUGUAACAAGCAGUAUUAGGUGAUUGACUGACUUCUCUGAAAGUACCCCCAGGUUUGAGGGCCCUGGUGCUUCAAUAAAUGCAGCAGCAUUUUGCCUUUCUGUGCUGAAAGUGACUCAAGAGGAUAAAGACAUGAGGUGGCAUCAGUGACUUUCCAUUGAUGAUCCUGCAGAACCCCCACUAAUGUGGGCCUUGGAAAUGUCAUCUUGUCGUUAUCUCAGGAGUCUGAGGAGAAGUAUGCUCUCCACUUGAUAAUUGUUUGAUUGUCAUUUUUAGAGACAUGAUUUCUUAAACUACUUAAAAUGGAAUGGAAGAGGAUUCCUGAUAAUAUUUAACUUUUUAUAAAAGGAAGAGAAAUGAGAUUAAAUUUUCUUGUUAUUAGUUUUUCAUUAACAGUUCAGUUUUUUGAUGUUUCUCUGUUAUAUAUCAUAGUCUAGUGUUGAUUUGAUUAUAGAAUUUGGAAGACAUUAGUAUAUUUUUCAUUUCUUU